rnacentral:lncRNA from 1 species
GGCCAUCUGGAGAGUUAGAGGGUGUAAGAGAAGAGGAAGGAGAGAUGGAGAUGUUUAAAAAUGAUUAAAAAAUAAAAAAAUGAAGGAUUUAGGAGCAGACUUUGUAGAACUUGGACCAUUAGAUCUUCACAAGAUAUGUCCAAAUUUGGUACUAUUCACUAUUCGAAUUUGAUAGUUUAUUAUUAUUAUAUUUUUAUUAAAUAUUAAUAAUAUAUAUAA